GGAUUGUGUUUCAGUGGUAGAGCAAUCGUUUAGCAUAUGCAAGGCCCUGGGUUCGAUCCUCAGCACCA
rnacentral:tRNA from 1 species